rnacentral:lncRNA from 1 species
UCCAACAUGCUGUCAAAAUUAAAUCAAUAUGUCAAUAUGGCUACUGGGUGUAAAAGAUAAAUCUUAUUCUAUCUGUUCUUAAUGAGUUUUAGAUAAUUUUAGUUGUAUUUCUUUGUAAUUUUGUGUUGUACAAAGAUUAAUUUAACAUUUUCUCUGGAAGUAUUAAUUUAGAAAGAUAAUAUGCUUCAUUGGUGUUGUGUUUUGAAGUGUGAAAUGCAAAGUAAUUGUGAUAAAGUCAAGGUAAAGUUCACUUUUAAACUGAACUAAAUAAGGUAUCUGAGAGACAACAAUGGUUAAAUGCAAUACAAUGUACAGGUUUUACUAGCGAAAUGAAAAUUUUCCUGUCCUGUCUGCUGUAAUCAUUUUAUAUCUGGUAAGUUACAAUUACAACAGUAACGAUUUUUGAAGAUGUUAACAUUUUAAUCUUAUAGGAAAAUAGGAAAACCAGCCGACUUAAUCGAUAAUAACAAUCUCCAGAUUGGGUUCCUUCAAUAAAUAUGGGCUAUAAACACAAUGAAAUAAGUUCCCCAAAAUCUAAAAUGGAGUGGUAUCAAAGGAGAAUUAAAGGAAAAAAUAUUCAUAUUGAAAUUGUUUAUAAGGCACUGGACUGUCUUAAAUUCUACAAUAAUACUAGAAUCAGCUGAGAGAAGUGGUCUACAAAAAACCAGGAAGGAAACGGAAUAUGUGGCUACGAAAGGCAAAAGAAAGGUUUACAAAGCAAAUGUGACACAUGUUUUUGAAAUAUUUAGGAAUAUCAGUAAAUUGCAUUAAAAAAAUGUAUGAAAAGAUUUUGUUCAAUAAAAAUGUUUAUAUUUA